AAUUUGAGUCCGUAGCGGCGAGCGAACCUGGAUUAGCCCUUAAGCACUCGGUGAAGUAGGUGAACAAGCUGGAAAGCUUGGCGAUACAGGGUGAUAGCCCCGUAACCGACGCUUCAUCGAGCGUGAAAUCGAGUAGGGCGGGACACGUGAUAUCCUGUCUGAAUAUGGGGGGACCAUCCUCCAAGGCUAAAUACUCCUGACUGACCGAUAGUGAACCAGUACCGUGAGGGAAAGGCGAAAAGAACCCCUGUGAGGGGAGUGAAAUAGAACCUGAAACCGUGUACGUACAAGCAGUAGGAGCACCUUCGUGGUGUGACUGCGUACCUUUUGUAUAAUGGGUCAGCGACUUAUAUUCAGUGGCAAGGUUAACCGUAUAGGGGAGCCGUAGCGAAAGCGAGUCUUAACUGGGCGCUCAGUCUCUGGAUAUAGACCCGAAACCGGGUGAUCUAGCCAUGGGCAGGUUGAAGGUUGAGUAACAUCAACUGGAGGACCGAACCGACUAAUGUUGAAAAAUUAGCGGAUGACUUGUGGCUAGGGGUGAAAGGCCAAUCAAACUCGGAGAUAGCUGGUUCUCCCCGAAAGCUAUUUAGGUAGCGCCUCGGACGAAUACUACUGGGGGUAGAGCACUGUUAAGGCUAGGGGGUCAUCCCGACUUACCAACCCUUUGCAAACUCCGAAUACCAGUAAGUACUAUCCGGGAGACACACGGCGGGUGCUAACGUCCGUCGUGGAGAGGGAAACAACCCAGACCGCCAGCUAAGGUCCCAAAGUAUUGCUAAGUGGGAAACGAUGUGGGAAGGCUCAGACAGCUAGGAUGUUGGCUUAGAAGCAGCCAUCAUUUAAAGAAAGCGUAAUAGCUCACUAGUCGAGUCGGCCUGCGCGGAAGAUGUAACGGGGCUAAGCAAUACACCGAAGCUGCGGCAAUGUCUUUUAGAUAUUGGGUAGGGGAGCGUUCUGUAAGCCGUUGAAGGUGAAUCGUAAGGUUUGCUGGAGGUAUCAGAAGUGCGAAUGCUGACAUGAGUAACGACAAAGGGGGUGAAAAACCUCCUCGCCGGAAGACCAAGGGUUCCUGUCCAACGUUAAUCGGGGCAGGGUGAGUCGACCCCUAAGGUGAGGCCGAAAGGCGUAAUCGAUGGGAAACGGGUUAAUAUUCCCGUACUUCUGACUAUUGCGAUGGGGGGACGGAGAAGGCUAGGUGGGCCAGGCGACGGUUGUCCUGGUUCAAGUGCGUAGGCUUGAGAGUUAGGUAAAUCCGGCUCUCUCUAAGGCUGAGACACGACGUCGAGCUGCUACGGCAGUGAAGUCAUUGAUGCCAUGCUUCCAGGAAAAGCCUCUAAGCUUCAGAUAGUCAGGAAUCGUACCCCAAACCGACACAGGUGGUCGGGUAGAGAAUACCAAGGCGCUUGAGAGAACUCGGGUGAAGGAACUAGGCAAAAUGGUACCGUAACUUCGGGAGAAGGUACGCUCUUGAUGGUGAAGUCCCUCGCGGAUGGAGCUGACGAGAGUCGCAGAUACCAGGUGGCUGCAACUGUUUAUUAAAAACACAGCACUGUGCAAAAUCGCAAGAUGACGUAUACGGUGUGACGCCUGCCCGGUGCCGGAAGGUUAAUUGAUGGGGUUAGCGCAAGCGAAGCUCUUGAUCGAAGCCCCGGUAAACGGCGGCCGUAACUAUAACGGUCCUAAGGUAGCGAAAUUCCUUGUCGGGUAAGUUCCGACCUGCACGAAUGGCGUAAUGAUGGCCACGCUGUCUCCACCCGAGACUCAGUGAAAUUGAAAUCGCUGUGAAGAUGCAGUGUACCCGCGGCUAGACGGAAAGACCCCGUGAACCUUUACUACAGCUUGGCACUGAACAUUGAACCUACAUGUGUAGGAUAGGUGGGAGGCUAUGAAGACGUGACGCCAGUUGCGUUGGAGCCGUCCUUGAAAUACCACCCUUGUAUGUUUGAUGUUCUAACUUAGCCCCAUUAUCUGGGGUGAGGACAGUGCCUGGUGGGUAGUUUGACUGGGGCGGUCUCCUCCCAAAGAGUAACGGAGGAGCACGAAGGUGGGCUAAUCACGGUUGGACAUCGUGAGGUUAGUGCAAUGGCAUAAGCCCGCUUAACUGCGAGAAUGACGGUUCGAGCAGGUGCGAAAGCAGGUCAUAGUGAUCCGGUGGUUCUGUAUGGAAGGGCCAUCGCUCAACGGAUAAAAGGUACUCCGGGGAUAACAGGCUGAUACCGCCCAAGAGUUCAUAUCGACGGCGGUGUUUGGCACCUCGAUGUCGGCUCAUCACAUCCUGGGGCUGAAGUCGGUCCCAAGGGUAUGGCUGUUCGCCAUUUAAAGUGGUACGCGAGCUGGGUUUAGAACGUCGUGAGACAGUUCGGUCCCUAUCUGCCGUGGGCGUUGGAAGAUUGAAGGGGGCUGCUCCUAGUACGAGAGGACCGGAGUGGACGAACCUCUGGUGUUCGGGUUGUGUCGCCAGACGCAUUGCCCGGUAGCUAAGUUCGGAAUUGAUAAGCGCUGAAAGCAUCUAAGCGCGAAGCGAGCCCUGAGAUGAGUCUUCCCUGAUACUUUAAGUAUCCUAAAGGGUUGUUCGAGACUAGAACGUUGAUAGGCAGGGUGUGUAAGCGUUGUGAGGCGUUGAGCUAACCUGUACUAAUUGCCCGUGAGGCUUAACCA
rnacentral:rRNA from 1 species